rnacentral:rRNA from 1 species
UAGAGUUUGAUCAUGGCUCAGGACGAACGCUGGCGGCGUGCCUAAUACAUGCAAGUCGAACGAACUCUGGUAUUGAUUGGUGCUUGCAUCAUGAUUUACAUUUGAGUGAGUGGCGAACUGGUGAGUAACACGUGGGAAACCUGCCCAUAAGCGGGGGAUAACACCUGGAGACAGAUGCUAAUACCGCAUAACAACUUGGACCGCAUGGUCCGAGCUUGAAAGAUGGCUUCGGCUAUCACUUUUGGAUGGUCCCGCGGCGUAUUAGCUAGAUGGUGGGGUAACGGCUCACCAUGGCAAUGAUACGUAGCCGACCUGAGAGGGUAAUCGGCCACAUUGGGACUGAGACACGGCCCAAACUCCUACGGGAGGCAGCAGUAGGGAAUCUUCCACAAUGGACGAAAGUCUGAUGGAGCAACGCCGCGUGAGUGAAGAAGGGUUUCGGCUCGUAAAACUCUGUUGUUAAAGAAGAACAUAUCUGAGAGUAACUGUUCAGGUAUUGACGGUAUUUAACCAGAAAGCCACGGCUAACUACGUGCCAGCAGCCGCGGUAAUACGUAGGUGGCAAGCGUUGUCCGGAUUUAUUGGGCGUAAAGCGAGCGCAGGCGGUUUUUUAAGUCUGAUGUGAAAGCCUUCGGCUCAACCGAAGAAGUGCAUCGGAAACUGGGAAACUUGAGUGCAGAAGAGGACAGUGGAACUCCAUGUGUAGCGGUGAAAUGCGUAGAUAUAUGGAAGAACACCAGUGGCGAAGGCGGCUGUCUGGUCUGUAACUGACGCUGAGGCUCGAAAGUAUGGGUAGCAAACAGGAUUAGAU